rnacentral:rRNA from 1 species
CUACGGGGCGCAGCAGUGGGGAAUAUUGGGCAAUGGGCGCAAGCCUGACCCAGCAACGCCGCGUGAAGGAAGAAGGCUUUCGGGUUGUAAACUUCUUUGACCAAGGACGAAGAACGUGACGGUACUUGGAAAACAAGCCACGGCUAACUACGUGCCAGCAGCCGCGGUAAUACGUAGGUGGCAAGCGUUGUCCGGAUUUACUGGGUGUAAAGGGCGUGUAGGCGGGACUGCAAGUCAGAUGUGAAAGCUGGGGGCUUAACCCUCAAACUGCAUUUGAAACUGUGGUUCUUGAGUGAUGGAGAGGCAGGCGGAAUUCCUAGUGUAGCGGUGAAAUGCGUAGAUAUUAGGAGGAACACCAGUGGCGAAGGCGGCCUGCUGGACAUUAACUGACGCUGAGGCGCGAAAGCGUGGGGAGCAAACAGGAUUAGAUACCCUUGUAGUC